rnacentral:tRNA from 1 species
GCUAGGAUGGCCGAGUGGUUAAGGCGUUGGAGCCAAUAGAUGUUUGUAUCCUCGUGGGUUCGACCCCCACUCCUAGCA